rnacentral:rRNA from 1 species
CCCAGACUCCUACGGGAGGCAGCAGUGGGGGAUAUUGCACAAUGGGGGAAACCCUGAUGCAGCGACGCCGCGUGAGUGAAGAAGUAAUUCGUUACGUAAAGCUCUAUCAGCAGGGAAGAAAAUGACGGUACCUGACUAAGAAGCCCCGGCUAACUACGUGCCAGCAGCCGCGGUAAUACGUAGGGGGCAAGCGUUAUCCGGAAUUACUGGGUGUAAAGGGAGCGUAGACGGCGGCGCAAGUCCGGAGUGAAAGCCCGCGGCCCAACCGUGGGACUGCUCUGGAAACUGUGCGGCUUGAGUGCGGGAGGGGCAGGCGGAAUUCCUAGUGUAGCGGUGAAAUGCGUAGAUAUUAGGAGGAACACCGGCGGCGAAGGCGUCUUACUGGACCGAAACUGACGUUGAGGCUCGAAAGCGUGGGGAGCAAACAGGAUUAGAUACCCGAGUA